AGAGAAAAGAUCUGAGAGAAAAGCCUGGGACUCUGCCACCCAGCUCCCUGGCCCCUGGGAGAAGCCAUGGCAGAUAUUUGGGAUGAGGCAGCAUGCUGGUCCCUCAGCAGCAUCCUUAUCACGUCAGCUGUGAGAGAAAUAAAACUGUGAGACUGUGAAGUGUAUAAAGGAUUCUACCGCUCUCCCGGGGCUUGGAGACCCACAGAUUGGAGAAAAGAAUGUUCUGGAUUGGCGAUCAGAAGGUACGGGCUCUACACAGGGCUUGGAGCUUUCCAGCUUUGCAGCUUUGAGUGAGAACCUGCUC
rnacentral:lncRNA from 1 species